rnacentral:rRNA from 1 species
UCAGGAUGAACGCUAGCUACAGGCUAACACAUGCAAGUCGAGGGGCAGCAUUGGAGUAGCAAUACUCAGAUGGCGACCGGCGCACGGGUGAGUAACACGUAUCCAACCUGCCGCUUACUCGGGGAUAGCCUUUCGAAAGAAAGAUUAAUACCCGAUGGUAUAAAGAGUUCGCAUGUUCUCUUUAUUAAAGAAUUUCGGUAAGCGAUGGGGAUGCGUUCCAUUAGAUAGUUGGCGGGGUAACGGCCCACCAAGUCUACGAUGGAUAGGGGUUCUGAGAGGAAGGUCCCCCACAUUGGAACUGAGACACGGUCCAAACUCCUACGGGAGGCAGCAGUGAGGAAUAUUGGUCAAUGGACGAGAGUCUGAACCAGCCAAGUGGCGUGAAGGAUGACUGCCCUAUGGGUUGUAAACUUCUUUUAUAAGGGAAUAAAGUGAGGGACGUGUCCCUUUUUGUAUGUACCUUAUGAAUAAGGAUCGGCUAACUCCGUGCCAGCCGCUGC